CCUACGGGGGGCUGCAGUGGGGAAUAUUGGGCAAUGGGCGAAAGCCUGACCCAGCAACGCCGCGUGAGUGAAGAAGGUUUUCGGAUUGUAAAACUCUGUCCUUGGGGACGAAAAAAAUGACGGUACCCGAGGAGGAAGCCCCGGCUAACUACGUGCCAGCAGCCGCGGUAAUACGUAGGGGGCAAGCGUUGUCCGGAAUUACUGGGCGUAAAGGGCGUGUAGGCGGCCUUUUAAGUUUCGUGUGAAAACCCCGUUUUCAAGGCGGGAGGUGCACGGGAUACUGGAGGGCUUGAGUGCAGGAGAGGGAAGUGGAAUUCCAAGUGUAGCGGUGAAAUGCGUAGAGAUUUGGAGGAACACCAGUGGCGAAGGCGACUUUCUGGACUGCAACUGACGCUGAGACGCGAAAGCGUGGGGAGCAAACAGGAUUAGAUACCCCGGUAGUC
rnacentral:rRNA from 1 species